CUACGGGAUGCUCCAGUGAGGAAUUUUGCGCAAUGGGGGAAACCCUGACGCAGCAACGCCGCGUGAGUGAUGAAGGCCUUCGGGUCGUAAAGCUCUGUCAAGUGGGAAGAACCUACCUAUGGGUAAUAUUCAUGGGUACUGACGGUACCACUGAAGGAAGCACCGGCUAACUCCGUGCCAGCAGCCGCGGUAAUACGGGGGGUGCAAGCGUUAUUCGGAAUUAUUGGGCGUAAAGGGCGCGUAGGCGGUUUUGUUAGUCAGAUGUGAAAGCCCGGGGCUCAACCCCGGAAGUGCAUUUGAUACUGCAAGACUUGAGUAUGGGAGAGGGAAGUGGAAUUCCUGGUGUAGAGGUGAUAUUCGUAGAUAUCAGGAGGAACAUCUGUGGCGAAGGCGACUUCCUGGACCAAUACUGACGCUAAGGCGCGAAGGCGUGGGUAGCAAACAGGAUUAGAUACCCUUGUAGUC
rnacentral:rRNA from 1 species